rnacentral:rRNA from 1 species
ACGGCUCAGUAACACGUGGCCAAGCUACCCUAUGGAGAGGGAUAACCCCGGGAAACUGGGGCUAAUACCUCAUAACGCUCCCCUACUGGAAUGUGGGGAGCCGGAAAUGCUCCGGCGCCAUAGGAUGCGGCUGCGGUCGAUUAGGUAGACGGUGGGGUAACGGCCCACCGUGCCUAUAAUCGGUACGGGUCGUGAGAGCGAGUGCCCGGAGAUGGAUUCUGAGACAAGAAUCCAGGCCCUACGGGGCGCAGCAGGCGCGAAACCUUUACACUGCACGCAAGUGCGAUAAGGGGACUCCGAGUGUGUGGGCAUAGAGCCCACACUUUUGUGUACCGUAAGAAGGUACACGUAUAAGAACUGGGCAAGACCGGUGCCAGCCGCCGCGGUAAUACCGGCAGUUCGAGUGAUGGCCGAUCUUAUUGGGCCUAAAGCGUCCGUAGCCGGCCGGGCAAGUCCGUUGGGAAAUCUGUUCGCUUAACGAACAGGCGUCCAGCGGAAACUGCUCGGCUUGGGACCGAAAGACCUGAGGGGUACGUCCGGGGUAGGAGUGAAACCCUGUAAUCCUGGACGGACCGCCGAUGGGGAAACCACCUCAGGAGGACGGAUCCGACGGUGAGGGACGAAAGCUAGGGUCUCGAACCGGAUUAGAUACCCGGGUAGUCCUAGCUGUAAACGAUGUCUGCUAGGUGUGGCACAGGCUACGAGCCUGUGCUGUGCCGUAGGGAAGCCGAGAAGCAGACCGCCUGGGAAGUACGUCCGCAAGGAUGAAACUUAAAGGAAUUGGCGGGGGAGCAC